rnacentral:rRNA from 1 species
UCCUGGCUCAGGACGAACGCUGGCGGCGUGCCUAAUACAUGCAAGUCGAGCGGAGUUGAUGAGGUGCUUGCACCUCUGAUACUUAGCGGCGGACGGGUGAGUAACACGUGGGUAACCUGCCUGUAAGACUGGGAUAACAUUCGGAAACGAAUGCUAAUACCGGAUACGCGAUUUGGUCGCAUGACCGAAUCGGGAAAGAUGGAGCAAUCUAUCACUUACAGAUGGACCCGCGGCGCAUUAGCUAGUUGGUGAGGUAACGGCUCACCAAGGCGACGAUGCGUAGCCGACCUGAGAGGGUGAUCGGCCACACUGGGACUGAGACACGGCCCAGACUCCUACGGGAGGCAGCAGUAGGGAAUCUUCCGCAAUGGACGAAAGUCUGACGGAGCAACGCCGCGUGAGUGAUGAAGGUUUUCGGAUCGUAAAGCUCUGUUGCCAGGGAAGAAUGCUUGGGAGAGUAACUGCUCUCAAGGUGACGGUACCUGAGAAGAAAGCCCCGGCUAACUACGUGCCAGCAGCCGCGGUAAUACGUAGGGGGCAAGCGUUGUCCGGAAUUAUUGGGCGUAAAGCGCGCGCA